GGAGUCUGGGCCGUGUCUCAGUCCCAAUGUGGCCGGUCAUCCUCUCAGAUCGGCUACCGAUCGUCGCCUUGGUGAGCUUUUACCUCACCAACUAGCUAAUCAGACGCAGACCCAUCGCAAAGCGAUAGCUUACAAGUAGAGGCCAUCUUUAAUCAAGCUCCCAUGCGGAAACUUGACAACAUUCGGUAUUAGCAGUCCUUUCGGACUGUUGUCCCCAUCUUUGCGGCAGGUUGUCUACGCGUUACUCACCCGUGCGCCGGUCGCCAUCAAUCAAAGCAAGCUUUGAUCAUGCUGCCCCUCGACUUGCAUGUGUUAAGCCUGUAGCUAGCGUUCAUC
rnacentral:rRNA from 1 species